AGUUCCCCUCUUUAAUCGGACGUAAUAGAACACAGAUUGAUUAUUUUGUCGUUUUUUUUUUGUUGUUAUUUUUGUUAGAAAAUGGAAUCUGAUCGAGUUUUAAAUAAUAACCUGAGUAAUGUAAAUUUUUCAAUUAAAUUGGACAAUAAUUCGAAUAUAUUUUACACUGGCGAUCUACUGAAAGGAGUUGUGCAACUUUAGAAGAGCCCAUUUUUAUUGCAGAUUUGACAGUAGAAUUUACAGGUCUAAGUGAAAUUUCAUGGCAUGAUAAAGACUUGAAAGAACACAGAGACGAUUUAAAUAUUUACUAUCGACGAAAACAAGUAUCUCAGCGACACUUUGAACGAAAAUACAUCGUAUCGCGACGUCUGUCUCUGAUUGUCAAUAGUGAAGUACAUUCUGGCAAAGGAAUAUUGGAAAAGACCUUUCAAACCAAAAUACCCCAUGAUUGUGUUUCUUCCGGCAAUUUUGAAUUUGGCUUUGUGUGCUACAAACUGAAAGCAAUCUGCAGGACGUCACAUGGCACAAGGGAAUGCGAAUGCGAUUUAAAAGUUGUGAGGCUUUGCAAUCCCACAAAAGAGCAUCCUUUGUUCGAUAUAACAACCUUCAAGGCUGUUAAACUGCAAACUCGCAUGGAGAAAUCUUGUUUUCAACCUGGUGAGGAAAUUCACAUUCAGGCCCAGAUUUCCAUUCCUUUGCCAUACAAAACUUAUAAAUUUCGUGCCCAACUAAGACAAUACCUAACCUAUAAUCAUCAUAGCUCGAAACAUCAGAGGAAUGGUGUGGUACUGGAUUUUGAUGAACAUCUAAAUCAAAUGCGUAUUUUAAAUACCGAGAAAUGUGACGUAUCAGCAAAGAGCAGUACUGAGGAGAUAUGCUGUAAUUUUGAAAUACCAAAGGAUACAACAACAACGACACACAUUACUUUGAAUAGGAUUUUAAAUGUUCAUUAUGAACUUUGGCUACUAGUCCAUGAUGAUAAUGAUGCUGAAUGCCUGAGACAAGAGAUACCCAUAGAUAUCUUGGCAUUUUCUAAGCAAUUCCAUAAUGCUGGGG